GGACCCGCACAAGCAGUGGAGCAUGUGGUUUAAUUCGAAGCAACGCGAAGAACCUUACCAAGUCUUGACAUCCCUUCGAAUAACAAGCAAAGUUGUUAGCUCUUCGGAGCGAAGGAGACAGGUGGUGCAUGGUUGUCGUCAGCUCGUGUCGUGAGAUGUUGGGUUAAGUCCCGCAACGAGCGCAACCCUUAUUUCGUGUAGCCAGCAGAUAAAGCUGGGGACUCGCGAGAGACUGCCCGGGAUAACCGGGAGGAAGGUGGGGAUGACGUCAAAUCAUCAUGCCCCUUAUGAUUUGGGCAACACACGUGCUACAAUGGCGUAAACAAAGGGAGGCGAAGGAGCGAUCCGGAGCGAAUCCCAAAAAUAACGUCUCAGUUCGGACUGUAGUCUGCAACCCGACUACACGAAGCUGGAAUUGCUAGUAAUCGCAGAUCAGCAUGCUGCGGUGAAUACGUUCCCGGGUCUU
rnacentral:rRNA from 1 species